AACGCAUAUUGCAUUCUCCGUUCUGCGGAGAGUAUGCCUGUUUCAGGGUCUGUUGAAAAAUCCGGGAAUUUAUUUUCUGGGAGAUGAACUUUUCGCGAUGCGAUGGUUUAAAAUUAAAUGCGUUUGCAACUGAUAGGACGCGUAAUAGUAGUAAAAUGCUAAUAUCGUAACUUGUCAGGUGAUAUUAAACGUGUAGCUUGACUGAAUCCGAGUUUAUUCUUUGAUUGGUGGUCAAACAAGUCGUCUACAUAGACCUGAAAUCAAGCAAGAUUACCCGCUGAACUUAA
rnacentral:misc_RNA from 1 species